rnacentral:tRNA from 1 species
UCCAGCGUAGCUCAAUGGUAGAGCUCCCGGCUGUUAACCGGGUUGUUGGAGGUUCGAGCCCUCCCGCUGGAGCCA